rnacentral:rRNA from 1 species
AUGGCCACGUCAUGCCCAGUAUCCUCGGCCUCUCGUCAUCCUUCCGAACCGGAGCUCAUCAAGUCGUACCUCCUCGGUCGGAUCACGAAGGACUUGUCAUGGGAAUUCAUCCACGACGCCGACGUCUACACCGCGGACCCGGCCAGCCUCACCGGCAAGUUUCUCGCGGCAAGCGACGACAGUGGUGAGAAAGUGUGGUACUUCUUCUCGCCGGUGAGGCCGAAGAACGUUCGAGGCCAGCGCAAGGCGCGGACGCUCGAAUCCGGGGCGGGAUGCUGGCACUCUGAGGCAGGCACGAAGGCCGUGGAGGACGGCGAUGGUCACCGCGUGGGAUACCGUCAGUUCUUCUCCUUCGUCUACAAGCACAACGGUCGACGGAUCCGGACUGGGUGGUUGAUGGUGGAACUCCGGCUCGACCGCCAACAGGGGGAGAAGAAGCCGUCGGACCUGGUCUUGUGCAAAAUUUACUUGACACCGCGUGCGCCGUCUUCAAGUGCGCAUGCCACGAGACGACCUGAUGGUGAAGAGACUGGAGGUAAAAGGAAGAACGACUGCCAGAGCCCCGACGAGGCACCUCCAGUAAGACAGUGUCGUUCCCAUAAUCUGCCUGAAGCAACCUCUUCGAGCAAUGUGGUGACCGCCGUGAUGGACGAUGACGUGCGUUCAGCACGAACGACGCAGCCAGCGAAUUCAGCUCCAGCGUCGUCGAUGAUGCAGUCGCCGCGGGAGAGGUUAUCCUAUCCGCCGCUCGCAGCCGAAGGCGAGGCCGCGGCAGUUUUUCCUGCUGAGAGCAGCGCCAGUGCAACGCGCAUCAUGGCGCCACCUUAUUUCGUACUUCCUUCCUCGGAUUACAGCAGACAAGAAUACAAGGACACCGUCGAGCGACGCUACUACACGCUCACCGGGGAGGUCCCCGAGGACGAGGUCAUCGAGCGCAUCAUCUCUGAGGGCCGCGGCGAGGAGAUCAUGAGCGCCGCAGUCGCCGAGCACGGCAAGGGCGCCGUGCUCGCCGCGCUCAACGAGAUCCAGGACCGCCACGACGCCGCCAGGGAGGUGGAGCGCAGCCUCCUCGAGCUCCACCAGGUGUUCCUCGACAUGGCCGUCAUCGUGGAGGCGCAGGGGGAGAAGAUCAACGACAUCGCGCACCACGUGAGCAACGCCAGGGACUACGUCCACUCCGGCAACAAGGAGCUCGGCAAGGCCCGCGAGCACCAGCGCGGCAGCCGCAAGUGCCUCUGCAUCGGCAUCAUCCUGCUGCUGCUCCUCAUCCUCAUCGUCAUCGUCCCCAUCGCCACCAGCCUUAGGAGGUCAUGA